rnacentral:rRNA from 1 species
GACGAACGCUGGCGGCGUGCUUAACACAUGCAAGUCGAACGGAAAGGCCCUGCUUUUGUGGGGUGCUCGAGUGGCGAACGGGUGAGUAACACGUGAGUAACCUGCCCUUGACUUUGGGAUAACUUCAGGAAACUGGGGCUAAUACCGGAUAGGAGCUCCUGCUGCAUGGUGGGGGUUGGAAAGUUUCUGCGGUUGGGGAUGGACUGGCGGCUUAUCAGCUUGUUGGGGGGGUAGUGGCUUACCAAGGCUUUGACGGGUAGCCGGCAUGAGAGGGGGAACGGCGACAAGGGGACUGAGGGACGGCCCAGACGGCAAUGGGGGGCAACGGGGGGGACUAUGGCCCAAUGGGCGGAAGCCUGAGGCAGCGACGCCGCGUUUGGGAUGACCGCCUUGGGGGUAUGAACCGCUUUGGCCUGUGACGAAGCGUGAGUGACGGUAAUGGGUAAAGAAGCACCGGCUAACUACGUG